UACAGAGGUCUCAAGCGUUGUUCGGAUUCAUUGGGCGUAAAGCGUGUGUAGGCGGUCGACUAAGUCGGAUGUGAAAGCCCUGGGCUCAACCCAGGAAGUGCACUCGAAACUGGUCGGCUAGAGUAUCGGAGAGGUUGGUGGAAUUCUCGGUGUAGAGGUGAAAUUCGUAGAUAUCGAGAGGAACACCGGUGGCGAAGGCGGCCAACUGGACGAAUACUGACGCUGAGACACGAAAGCUAGGGGAGCAAACAGG
rnacentral:rRNA from 1 species